rnacentral:rRNA from 1 species
AAUCAACGCUGGCGGCGCGCCUAACACAUGCAAGUCGCACGAGAAAGCGGGGCAACCCGCAAGUACAGUGGCGUACGGGUGAGUAACACGUGGAUGAUCUACCUUCUAGUGGGGAAUAACCCUGGGAAACCGGGGCUAAUACCGCAUAAGCUCGAGAGAGGAAAGCAGCAAUGCGCUGGAAGAGGAGUCCGCGGCCGAUUAGCUAGUUGGGAGGGUAAAAGCCUACCAAGGCAAAGAUCGGUAGCCGGCCUGAGAGGGCACACGGCCACACUGGCACUGAAACACGGGCCAGACUCCUACGGGAGGCAGCAGUGGGGAAUCUUGCACAAUGGGGGAAACCCUGAUGCAGCGACGCCGCGUGAGCGAUGAAGCCCUUCGGGUGUAAAGCUCUUUCGUCGGGGAAGACGAUGACGGUACCUGGAGAAGCAGCUGCGGCUAACUACGUGCCAGCAGCCGCGGUAAUACGUAGGCAGCAAGCGUUGUUCGGAGUUACU